CCUGCAUGUUUCCUUGAAAUAAUCAUUCCUAACACCUUUAAAAGAAUAUGUCUCAUGGGAGUUCCCUGAUGGCUCAAUGGGUUAAGGGUCUAGCAUUAUCAUUCCGGCAGCUUGGAUCACUGCUGUGGGGUGGGUUCAGUCCCUGACCUGGGAACGUCCACAUGCUGUGGGCUUAUCAACACAAACAAACAAAAAAGAAUAUGUGUCUUUGAGGGUUUUUUUCCUAAGAGAAGUAAGAAAUAAGGAACUACGGAGAUCCUACACAGGCUGAGAUACAGGCCUUCCUAGGGGAGAAUGGUUCAAAAAUGAUAUGCAAUUAGACUAUAUUGGUGAAACCUCAUCAGAUGGAUGUUGUGUGGGAAACAUCCAUUUGGAUCUGAAAAAGGGCCCAGGGAUGUGGGACUGAAGGGUUACUAGGGAGGAGUAUUUUUCCUCACAUAUAAAUCAAGUCAAAGCAUGCCUCUUUCCAUUUGUAGCAGUCUCCUGCCCCCAGGAGUGAGCAUGAAGUUGGAUCCAACACUCCAUCCAUCCUGAGGUCUAGAGGCAUUAAUGGAAGCACGAGCAUGUUCUGGAUGGUUUUGGAGAGAAGAGCAAUCUUCCCUACACAUGAUUGCUUAGAUGAGCCUCCAAACGCUGGCAUGUUCUGAAGAAGGAAGCGGAGAGGCGCGGGCGUUGCAGAGGGAGCCUCGAGCUGAGCUGGGCUGGGAGUCAUUAAAGGAGGCGGCUGUCCCCGGGGCCCCAGACGGCAUCUCAUCAAGAUGCCCUGGAACUCGCCCAGCUUUGCUUCAGAUGUUCCAAGCUCAUUUUGGCUCAACUGGAUGUGGUUUCCAGGAACUCAUCAGGAUAAGGAGACAUGUAUCUUUGCACUGGAUAAACUGA
rnacentral:lncRNA from 1 species